CAUCCGCAUCACAGCUUAACCUGCACAUUUAGAAAACAUAUGCAGGGCUGAGUACUAAAAAGGUACUCAAUGGUCACAUGCCGAAAUAACUUUAAAGCUUGCUCUUAGAGCUAUAUAUUGAACUUGCCAUUUCAAGCAUCACACAGGAGUUUUAUUUAAAUAACUCGAGCAUGCAAAACUGUUAAACUUUCCUGUAAUUAUCAUGAACUUCAUAUGCGUUUGUAGACAUACUUCAUUGUACUAUACCAUAUCUGCAAUGAUAUCUGUGUGCCGAGAAGGUGACCACCUUCUACGGUCACUGACCGGCCGAUACGCUAAACCGGCUCACGGUCCUAGACCGGCCGAUACGCUAAACCAGCUCACGGACCUAGACCGGCCGAUACGCUAAACCGGCUCACGGUCCUAGGCCGGCCGAUAUGCUAAAUCGGCUCACGGUCCCUUGUGUACACUAAUCCUGUCUAACAUCUGGAUAGAACAGGAUCCGAAUUCGAUUAACUUCUGGUGCCAGAUAGGUAUCAUACAAGCUCAUAAAAGUUUUGGCAAGUCAAUAACUUUAAUAUAACUUCAUUCAUGUAAACAUCAUGAAAUAAUGUGCACUUCAGAUUUUGAGUCUAGAAAGCCCACCUGAUCGUGGUCUGACGAUCCAGGUGAUUCUGAACUAUGGAUUCACCUUCUUUUGUAUAUGACCUUCAGUAUAGAUUAACUAACUAAGUAAAUAACGAGAAAAAUGAUAUGAACUGAUUUAAAAGGAAUAAUUAUGUUGGUUUUAAGAUGAUAGUUCUAUUGAAACUUAUGGAAUGAUGACGGGUUGCUACCUGGCGAACUUAUCAAUAAAUACCAACAUAUUAUCUAAAUCACAGCUGAAACUAUGAUAAUUGUAACUUUGGCGUUAACCAUAACUUUGCUCAUACUAAUUAAAAUAAUUCUACAUAUCUAGGCCAUUUAAUAAAUCAAGCCAAUUAUUAGCAAAUAGCUAAUAAUCCUUUAUACAUAUUUAUAGGCUUAAACUAAAAUAAACUCAUCUCAAUUAAAUGAAUUAAAUCCAUCUUCCAACUUACUAUCAAGGCCCAAUUUUAAUUAAGUCCACUAGAAAUACUAAUAGGCCCUCCAGAACUUAUUUAACCAAGCCCAUCGAGAUUUAAUAGGCUAAAAAUUAUUACAAGCCCAAUUAUAAUUAUCAUCAUCUCUACUUAAUAGGUUAAACCUUAUACAAUAUAAAUUAAAUCUUCCUUCAUUACGUAUCUCCUUCUCUUUCUUCAUUCCCUCACUUUCUCUCUAUGCUCUCUACCGCUUCUCUCUGUCCCUCUCUUUCCCGGCGAGCGUCGCCGGCCUCCGCCGCCUCUUCUCUUUCCCCUUCUUUUCUUUCUUUCUUUCUUUCCCUUUUCCUGAAUCUGAAAUAGAUCUAGGGUUUCUACCUCUCUUCCUCCCCUCUCCCCUCUGGAAUUCGUUUCUCCGGCGAGGUUUGCCUCCACCGCCGUCGUCUUCGUCGCGCCGCCGCCUCCUCUGUUUCAGGAGGAAUCGGUGAUUCAAGAUGGUUUGAGAUGGUUUCAUCGGCAGUUCAUCUACAGCCCAAGACUCCCGUUUAAAGACUCAGCCUUUUAUUAUUGAAUUAACUGUUGUAACUAAAUGUAUUCUCAAAGUGUUAAAGAAAAUUGAUGUUAUCUCUACUAUUCUUGAUUUCUAUCUAAUGAGUGAUUACCGAGUUAUAGGAA